CGGGGUGAGUAAUGUCUGGGAAACUGCCUGAUGGAGGGGGAUAACUACUGGAAACGGUAGCUAAUACCGCAUAACGUCGCAAGACCAAAGUGGGGGACCUUCGGGCCUCAUGCCAUAAGAUGUGCCCAGAUGGGAUUAGCUAGUAGGUGGGGUAACGGCUCACCUAGGCGACGAUCCCUAGCUGGUCUGAGAGGAUGACCAGCCACACUGGAACUGAGAUACGGUCCAG
rnacentral:rRNA from 1 species